rnacentral:rRNA from 1 species
AUUGAACGCUGGCGGCAUGCCUUACACAUGCAAGUCGAACGGCAGCACGGGGCAACCUGGUGGCGAGUGGCGAACGGGUGAGUAAUGCAUCGGAACGUACCUUUCAGUGGGGGAUAACGUAGCGAAAGUUACGCUAAUACCGCAUAUUCUGUGAGCAGGAAAGCAGGGGAUCGCAAGACCUUGCGCUGAUUGAGCGGCCGAUGUCAGAUUAGAUAGUUGGUGAAGUAAAGGCUCACCAAGGCGACGAUCUGUAGCGGGUUUGAGAGGAUGAUCCGCCACACUGGAACUGAGACACGGUCCAGACUCCUACGGGAGGCAGCAGUGGGGAAUUUUGGACAAUGGGGGCAACCCUGAUCCAGCCAUGCCGCGUGAGUGAAGAAGGCCUUCGGGUUGUAAAGCUCUUUCGGCCGGGAAGAAAUCGCACGGGCUAAUACCCUGUGUGGAUGACGGUACCGGAAUAAGAAGCACCGGCUAACUACGUGCCAGCAGCCGCAGUAACAC